CAUGCCGCGGUGAAUACGUUCCCGGGCCUUGUACACACCGCCCGUCACACCAUGGGAGUUUGUAACACCCGAAGUCAGUAUCCUAACCGCAAGGGGGGGAGCUGCCGAAGGUGGGAUAAGCGACUGGGGUGAAGUCGUAACAAGGUAUC
rnacentral:rRNA from 1 species